UUACUUACUUGGCAGCCAGUCUUGACAGCAAAACUGUUGUAUACAGGACAUGGGAUGGCUGAGUAUUACCAUAUAAUAAAGUAAAGGCCUGGGUAAGGGCAGUACACGACAUCAUCAGGACACUGGGAUAAAAGGGCAGUGCCAGGCUGAAGCCUAUUGCAAUGAAACAAUCCUGAGCACUUAUGUACCCACCAAACAAUGGACCAAUUUCGCACCACC